GAUUAACGCUAGCGGAAGGCAUAAUACAUGCAAGUCGAGCGGGAUAGAACUUAGCAAUAGGUUCUUGAGAGUGGCGCACGGGUGCGUAACACGUAUGCAACCUACCUUUAACUGGGGGAUAGCCUCUCGAAAGAGAGAUUAAUACCCCAUAGUAUAACUGAAGAGCAUUUUUUUGGUUAUUAAAGAUUUAUCGGUUAAAGAUGGGCAUGCGUCUGAUUAGCUAGUUGGCGGUGUAACGGACCACCAAGGCGACGAUCAGUAGGGGUUCUGAGAGGAAGGUCCCCCACACUGGCACUGAGAUACGGGCCAGACUCCUACGGGAGGCAGCAGUAGGGAAUAUUGGGCAAUGGGUCGGAAGACUGACCCAGCCAUGCCGCGUGCAGGAAGAAGGUCCUCUGGAUUGUAAACUGCUUUUAUCGGGGAAGAAUAGUUUUCUUGCGAGGGAAUGUGACGGUACCCGAUGAAUAAGCCACGGCUAACUACGUG
rnacentral:rRNA from 1 species